rnacentral:lncRNA from 1 species
GGGAGUUGUACGGUAACUGAAUUAUCUGUCGAAUAAAUGUGUUAUCAGCCUCCUGGGACUGAUAUUUGUAUCACAUUUAGUCUCUACUUAUGUGGGGACGCUUCAGGUGGUAUCAGAGCCGUCGUUGGCUGUAGGACGCAACCUUAGGACUGGAUUAGCCCUUUUUUGACCAAAACAAAAGAAUUACAAAAUUUCUUCCUACCUCUGCUCUAUUGAAAAACUAAUUUGUGCCCCGGAUCUUUUCCAGAUGGCCGAGGAAGGAUGGGUCAACAGCCACUGCCUGGAGGAGCCUGGUUUUCCCAGAU